UUGUGGAGCCUGUUGCUUGGAAGAGUGGUAUGGUGGUGUGUUGUUCUUUGUUUAUUUUUUACAGUACCUGGAUUGGUUAUGAAAUGUCACACCGUGGUUCUCUUAGGAAAGCUUUGUUGUGGGUUGGAAUUUUAUAUAAAAGUAUUUAUUUCUUUUCUUCCCUCUCUGCCCCCGCCUGAAAAUCCAAAUUAUUACUGUCAGCCAGCAGGAGGGUAGACCUACUGCUCAUGUAAAUUGCUCUAUUUCUGUUGUUUGCCCUUGUUCUCUCAAGUUUGCAAAUGAUACUGGUGUAACCAACAUAAGGAUCUGGCCUCUAGCAUGUGUUUGUCCCAUCUGCUGUCCAGCAUGUUAAUUUUCAUGGAAGACACAAACUUGCACGGACGGUGAUUUUAAGGAGGGGCCCUUUUGCUUUUCAAGAGCCAACUGUGAAGCCUCAGGGGCCCAGUUCUGAAAGGCAGUCAAUGCCAAGAUCAGGAGGCGUUGGGAACUUGGGUCCUGGCAAUUUCUGGCUUCUGGUCCAAUACAGACAAGACCAUAGGGAAGGAAGCAUGUGUUAGACAUUUGUGUAAAAGUAGCAAUGAUGUUAAAGAUUUUUGGGUAGAAACGUCCUUGGGGGGAAGGACCAGGCUUGCAAAAAGGACUCAGUUGAAAUAAGCCUUGAAAAAUCCUCAGAGGGGUUAGAAAUGGUGGCCCAGGGAGUAUAUUUCCACUGCAGUUGUCAACCAAAAUAAAAAUAAUGAUUUAUUUAAAAAAAAAAAGCAACAAGUGGGAGGUAUCUGUUGCUUUCGCUGAUCCCCUUUAUCUUUCCUAGUUCGAUAGGAACAGAAGUAUGCCAGGUAAUGGUUUAAGUGAUUCUUUUUCCCACUACUGAAUGCUGCAGAUAUUUACAAUUAUUAAUAGCCAGGCUUCUUAACAUGCCUGGAGGUCUUGAAAGUCCUGUGUUUUCAGUGCAAGACUGGAAAAUCCUGAGAUUUUCUAAAUGCUCAGACAUGAUCUUAAAAAGAAAAAAGGAAAAAAGAAAAAAAAAGCCAAACCAAAAAUCAUAAAAGUAUUUGGAAAGCGUCCUUUAGUUGGAUUCUAUUUCAACUAUUGUUUACUCUUGUUAAUGUUUGUUAGGAUACAUUUCUUGAAUGUUACUGCUCUCAUGCAAGUGGCUCAUUGUACAUUUAGAUGGUAGUGUUAGUAACUCUUCAGUUUUUCUUGCAUGUUUCAUGAAAACUACUGAGUUUCUGAAACUCCUUGCUCCUUCGAAUCAGCUAUGAAACAGAGGUGACUUGUCCCUGAUCACAUGCAAAGCUGAAGGCAGAGCUGGGAAUGGGGCUCAGAUGUCCAGCAUGGUAAGAUCAUUCUUUCCAUUUCUGUCAAGACUGGUCAAUUAUGCUAAAGCAACACUGGCUGAACAUUUGCAUGGAAGCAAACAGAUGUAUACCUGAGCCUUUAGGAGCAUCAUAGCUCUGUAACCAGGAAUCCUCUGGCAAUUUGAGGCACUGUCUAAGGGAACUGUUCUGCCUAGUAUCCUGUACUUCUCUAAGCUCCCCCUUUCUUGAUCUCCUAGGAUUAGGAUCUGCAGUUGCUCUCCACAGAUGUAUCAACCCUUCUAUGUAAGAUGGAGGAGAACAAGUUAACUUAAGCCAGGACAGGAGAUUAGGGGUGAUAGAAGUUUCGUUUGUAGCCUGGAGAAUUGGUGUCCUUGCAUCAUGGACUUGUCCUUAAUUCUCCACCAGGGAAGACUGUCAGGUUUGAGCUGACUGAUGCUGCUUGUGGAAUUCUCUCCCUGCCCCAGAGACAAGAGUAGGGGGUGGGAGUUAGGGGGCAAUUAAUUUCAUGUGGGAGGAAUAGGUGAGGGAUGGGAGCUUGCAAGGUCUCUCUGUCUUUGGUGGUAAGGAGGAGAAGGCUAUGCACAGUGGUUCAGCUGUCUUCUACCAGCCAGCCAGAUUCAGGAGGCCUUCCCAGUCAGAGCAGAAAGCUCAGCUUUGCUGCUGUCAGCACUGCUGAGAGCAGGAUCUGGGGAUGGGUGAAUCCAAAUAUCCAGAUCGCAUGGAUAUUGGCUGGAAACGUUCCACCAUAUCCGGGUGGCUGCCUUUGCGUGAUAUUCAUGCUUGUCAGAAAAUUAAUUAUUCCAUUCACCAGUCUCUCUGAGCAGGGAGGAUUACCUCUCAAUACCUGGAGCUCCUCCUGGGGGUGGUGUGUGUUUGUAAGCACGUCUGUCUGCAUGCCUGCUUACUGAAAGGGGGUGUGUGUGGCGGACGUAGAUAUGUACAGACAGCAAGAGAUGGUAUAUUACUGUAGGCACAGAGAAGGAGUGACAUGAAUGAUGCAGAAAUAAGAAAGAUGCCUUGCUCUGUGUGUCUGUGACAGAGGGUGUCCUUGGGGAUACUUUCUGCAUACCAGAGAGAGGGGUAUUUUCCUCCAGGUAAGGUUAGCUGUGUGCGGGAGCAGAGGGUGCAGGGCUUGGGUAAGUGGCCAUGAAUUCCUUGUCUUUGCCCUUAUGUAUGUAAGAAAUGCACACAUGGCCUAGGCUGUGUCCCCAUGCUUUUUAGAUCUGCCUUCAGAAAGAUUGAUGUGUUUGAUGCAAGCCUUAAUCUGCCCAUGAUUUCCUGUGUACUUGUGCUGAGAACAGCGAAAGAAGUUCAUGUGUACACACUGAUUAUUGAAACACUGCAUAUGUGUUGAAAAAUCUCGGGUCAGCUGACAUUGCAAUAGUACCUGUCAUUUUGAUUUUGAUGCAUUUGAUUUUGACUAUGGGCCUCCUAAACAUAGCUCCAGGUCUUGUCUUCUUGCUUUUCCAUUUGAUCAGCCCCAUGUACUUCAGGGGGUAACUUACACCUGCAAGUGAGCAGAAUCAGGUCUGGUGAUAUUUAAAAGUAAAACCAUUUCACUGGAGUCUGAAAGCUUUCCUGGGAUGCUCUAACUCACAGGAGUUCUUAUCCCAUAUGGGGCAGCAUGGUCUGUACAUGUUCUGGGGUUGGAGUUUUCCAACUGCAGCAUCAAGGAGUGAUCUUCCCUAGAAAGCAAAGCUACUUAAUUGUGGCUUGACUCUGAGAGCACCCUGAUUGGCUCUGCUAGGCAGCACAGCGCUGAGUUUCAGGCUUGGGGUAUUCUUGGAAAUUUGUAUUAUUAAUUGAGAGCUUAUUAAUGGCAAACACAGGAUGACAUUUUACAUGGUUUAGUUAUGUUCUGAGCCACUGGUACAAUGCAGCCUCAGCCACAAGGCAAGGAAGCUCCUGCCGUAACUGAUAAGAGAAGGAAUAAUAGCUCAGUUCCCACUAACUGAUCUUGCGGUGACAGGAACGGCCCUUGCAAAUGUCUGAUCAACUUCAAUCUGGUGGUUGCUCAUCCUGGGGUUAAGGAAAUCUCAGAGGAAAACAGACUUACUCACUGAGGUAAUAACCAUUCUGGUUUAUUAGCAGUGGGCUAGGAGAGGCACUCCUGUAAGCCACAGCCAAGCAUCUGCAGCCUCUUUUGUCUGGGAGGAAACACAGGCUGUACAAAGCCCCUGAAUAUCUCCAGCAAUCCUCCUAGUCCCCUCUUAUCUGCUGCUACGUGUGCAUCCAUCCCAUCCUGUCUGCCAGAACUCCCUGGGUCUUUCCCAGGCACAUUGAGGGUAUUUGACUUUAGUGUUGUCACAGGUGGCAUUUGCUUGUGUUGCUGAGGCUCCUCAAGGAGGCACUCAUUCUGCAUAAGCUCUGCUUUGGUUCUCAGAAAGAGGGACAAAGUUUGGAGACUUCCUGCCAAAGCUUGGCCUUAGGUUGGGAAAGCCACCCUGUGUGACAGAAGUAAAGGAGAUGAUGGUGGGAAGCCACUCCCCAUCUGGGUUUGUAGAAAUAGCAGUGCAUAUCCCCCUUCACAAGACAAAGCUCACAUGUGGGUGCCAAAUAGACUGUUCCUUGUCUGAGACUUAUGGAGCUAAGCAUCUGCACAGACUGAUGAGAACUUCCCUUGAGGACCUCCACAGAUCUGUUAGAUCUAUAGAUCUGUGGGACACAGGUAGUCUGUCACCCAUAAUACUCAGUCCUGCAGUCCCACUCUGCAGGUAUUAGCUUCAUCAAUGGCUGAGGAUGGGUACAAAGUCUUUACUGCAACUGCUGAGAGCUGUAUAAGGGAACACAGACAGCAGAGCUCCUCUGCAUUCCCUUGUCCAGCAGCAGAAUUAUUUCUACAAAGGCACUGCAGGCUCUGGGAGGAGAUUAUAGGCCAAGCACUUAAACUCUUCCUCCCUGGAUUAGCAAGAGCCCCACAGCUGUGGAUUGUCUGAUGCCAGCAAAUAAACCAGAUGGAUGACAUGGAUGGAGGUAGGCCAAGCUGGGAUGGAAACCACAGUGUGCCCUCCUGUCUUAAUGGGCUUCUGGAAGAUGAAGUAGCACAAGCUGGAAAAAGCCUUCAGCUGCAAAGCUCUCUAUAUUGAGGACAUCAUUUUAUGGAUGGGCUGUGAGAAAACUACAAGUGCCUCACUUCACCACUUGUCCAGGAUCCCCAGAAUCUGUCUUCCUUCAAAACCCAAGCCCAGUGCACUGUUAGUGAUGAAACUCUGCAGCGGAAUGCUUUGAUGAGGCUGUGAUCUUGGAAGGAUACAGAAAGAGAUGGGCUGUUUCAGGCAGAUCACAAGGAAAUCCUGGUUUAUAAAGGUCAGACGGUUGCUGUGUGCCAUGGAGUGACCUCAGCUCAUCUAUAUUUUAAAAUCCUUGUUGGCCAUGGUCAGGUGUCUCCUUAGCCUCACUUCAACCCAGAUUGAUUUGGUCUGAGCCCAGGACUUCUGACUGUGGCUGAAAGGCAAAAGGCAAGCCCCUGCUGUUCCUCUAGGCUUCAAGCAGGAUGAAGUGCAGAAGAAGAAAUAUAAUGAUGGCAAGUAGGCUGUGGGAAUGACGCCGUUUAUUGAUACUCCAGGUAUGAAAGAACCCACUAAUGAGCAAUUUAUAAAAGACACUUUUGAGCCAUUUUGAAGGAAAUCACUGACUGCUGUGAGCAGGAAAGUGCAGACAGCUUCAUGCAAGGAUGAGCUGCUGCCUUUGCAUUUGUUAGCUAUGCAAGAAACACAAGCAGCUCUUUCCACAUCCACACCCUCCUCUGUGGAUGUCUGGCAGCAGGUAUUUACCCUCUGCAGAAUCCUGCCAGUCACCCACAUCAUGUGGGCAGAGCUAAGGUUGCACAGAGGUCUAAGCUAGCUGGCAUCCCUGUCUUCUACAGCUGGGCAGCAAUGAGGUAUCUUUCUUUGUACGAGCGGAACAUCUCUAGUAGGCAUGUGGAUCUC